AAUGCAAGCUGUCUUAUCGCUCCCGAGUUACUCGGGGGAGGAAAGUCCGGGCAACAUAGAGCGCCGUACUUCCUAACGGGAAGGUCCCGGUUUUAUCGGGAACAGAGAGUGCCACAGAAAAUAUACCGCCCCGACCUGUCGGGGUAAGGGUGAAAUGGUGAGGUAAGAGCUCACCGCUCUAAUGGUGACAUUAGAGGCAGGGUAAACCUUACGGGUUGAAAGACCAAAUAAAUUAUCCAGUUCCGUUUAUCGGGCCAUGGGUUGCUCGCCCAUGUUCAUUCGUGAUGGGAUAAUGGGUAGGUCGUACGAGAUGAUCAGUGAUGGUCAUCCCAGAUAAAUGAUAAGAAUCCAGCGGCGAAUGUCGUUGGGAUACAGAACCCGGCUUACAGGCUUGCAUUUUUA
rnacentral:RNase_P_RNA from 1 species